GUGGUUUCACGCGGUUCCAUGGUGUUCUCCCUUCAUUUAAAGACUUACAAAUUGACAAGACAUGCACUACUACAUGUAUGCUGUGCCUGGCUCAAGAUUCCUAUAUGUAGCCAGGCUGCCCUACCGACACUGGCAAAAUGAAUGCUUCCUUGAACAAAGCUAACCAAAGAUCGAAGAUCCUGCUCGCAGCUAUGCCUCAUUGCCUACCAUGGCCAAAACCUCUGAGGUUUACCGUAGUGUUCUCCGUCUGAUUGUUAUGUGUUGAGGAUGAGCUGAAUGUUACUGAUAUUGAUACCUGAUAUCUAAUUG